rnacentral:antisense_RNA from 1 species
GACCCCGGAAGUGCUUGCUGCGCAGGACCCCUUGAAAAAAAAUGAGGACCCGUCUUUUUUAGGUCACAAGAUUGCGCCAACCCUCACAUGGUCCUUAAAAAAAAAACCUUCUGACACUGCAGUAGUGAAAAUGAAGUGCACGAUGGGCGGAAGCUAGGAAGACACUUAAAGAUGAAGUGCUUAAUUCAAGGUCACAGAAUGUCGGGGAUGGACCUCCAGAUUUCCUUACUGACCUGCAUUAUCUUGUGGAUACCUGAGUGAAUUCCACACCACCCAUUUUAUAGAUGAAGCCACUGAGACGUGGAGCAACUGACUGAGUAGUCACUGCCCCACCCCUGCCUGGAGCCUCACACAUGACUUCUCUUAGUGACCACAGGUUGGUUGAGGGGUUUAACAAGGCUAAGAAGGUGAGACGUGGUCUUGUAACACAGUGGUUAAGAAUGUGACUUUGGAGCCAGCCUGCUAGGGGCUGAAUUCUGACUCAGCCAUUUAUUAACUGUGUGACCUUAGGUAAGUCAUUUACCUUCUCUGUCCCUCAGUUUCAUCUUGGUAAAGUAGGGAUAAUGAUAGAACUUAUUUUAUAGGGUUAUUGUGAGGAAUAAAUCCAAGUAAAAUGCUUAGAAUAGUAACUGAAACAUAGCACUCAUUAAGUAUGCUUUAAUUUUCAUUUAUUUGAAUAUUAAAG